AGGGAGGGGGUUUACGUUCUCCAUUUCAAAGAGAGGCCCCUGCUUUUCUUAGCAGACACCUGUCCUCCAAAGUAGGACAACUGUAAUGUUGAAGUAUUAUUUUUCAAACAUUGUUUGUAUUUUUAGAACAAAAGGGUUAUUCCAUUUUUCCAGAUUCCAUCACUGAGAAUGAAGACCAGCAAUGCUUAUCAAGUGAGUCAGGUUUUUUUCCUUUUAAAUGCAAAUUUGUUUCCAGGGGAAAAAAAUAUAAAACCAAUAAACGAACCAUAGAUGUUGCUUUUUUAAAGUUGUUGGUUUUUUGUUGUUUUUGUUGUUUUAGUUUUUGUUUUUUUGCUUAGAUGCUUCAAUGAAAAAAAAAUUCAUAGGAAACUAAAGGAAAAAUGUACCAAUGCUAACAGCCCUUCUUUUCAAACAAGUCAGAUUUUUUUGGUAAUAUAGUUUCUUUUUUUUUCCCCUUUUCCCUCCACGUCCAGAGAUGAAAAGGUGGUUGGAUUAUUUCCCAUGGCAGACAACAAAAAUUCCCCCAUUAGUUCCUAUUUUAUGGAAGAUGUGGUCUGAACCAGAAAUUGUUCAUGACAUCUGGUUUAUCUUCAAUUGUAAUCAUUUGUAUUCAAAGACUGUCCUCUGUCCCUUCCUUCCACAUGUAAAGGAUGAGACCAUGGGACAUCCAUGGGACAGCACUGAUUGCCAAAACCGGACUUGGUUUUCAAUUAAUCUAAAAUAGGCAAGUUACAAACAUGCUGUGAGACUCGUCAGUGAGCUUGGUGUGACGGGCAAAUGCUUGAGAAAUGUCUUAGUUCUAUGCCAUGAACAUUUAUUUGUGGUAAUAGUUUAUCAACUAAUUGCACAAACAGAAAAGUACUGCUCUUUGUAUAGUAACUCACCCAAAAAAUAAUUUGUCAUAUCAUCGACACUACUAUGAGAUAGAAAUUAGGAGUUUUGGGAGGACUCUGCCUUCCUCAGUGUGGAGGUUUGUUCUGACACCCCUUAAGAAAGAGAAGGCAAGGUGGAAUGGCCCAAGCAAUAUACUCCACAGAGUAUAUAUCUCUUUGCUUAUAUCUGGUGAUGUCCUCUUUGCUUAUAGCUGGUGAUGUUGAUGUUGCUGGUCUAUAAUGAUGUGCUUUGCCACAGAGAGAUUUGCAGGUCUCUACUGUGUCUUGUGUGUGUCUUAAGAACAGCGUGCUACUAGCAUGUAAUCCACCAGGCUGAUUUUUGGGAAAAUUCUGUUGUUUUCCGUUAGAAAACAUUGCAUGCCUGAUGCCAAUUGUUUGCUUCUCACAGUGUUUUAACCAAUCACACGCUGUUUACAUCAGUAAAAGAGUGGUCUCCAAAGUGCAACACUCAAAUCAAGAAGAAAAAAUUGCUUUAUUGUGCAAGCUUCUUGUGCACACCUUAUUGUGCCUCCUCCAUCUGUAGAUGCUGACAUCUGAUCAGCAGCAACUGGUUUUAUUUUUGCUUUGUUUUCGGCUGUGAAAAUGCUGAUGAGGGUCUGAUUAGGAUGCUGCACAUACCGUUGGCAACAUCGCUACUAAAUGAGCACUCCUCAUCACUUAUAAGCAGAGUCUCUCCUCAUGAUGAAAUUGUCAUUUCAAAGCAGGGAGCCUGGAGCCUGGAAAGUGAUGGGAGGUGUUGAAGGUCUAUCCAUCUAUCCGUCUGUCCCCAUAUGUCCACACUACAGCUGAAGUCACUGGGAUGGUGGGACUGGCUGAUGUUCAACAUCGUUGCUGACAUUCAGCUGCCAUGGCUUCGUUGUCUGAAUGCCUUCCCUCCACUGACACAUUCAACGGUGCUUCACUUGUGCUGCUGAGAGCCAUUCAACUGAUAUCAUUGCACUCCCGUGGGCACUUGUUCAGCACUGCUGAUACAGCCCCAGGUUUAUUCAUCAGGUCAGUUGUGUUCAAAAAAGGAUUAGCUGAAGAACCCUGCCAUUUACCACGCUGGUUUAAAUACAAGCAUCUGCAGAUUGAAAAAAAACACAAAAAACCCCAUAAAAGGUGUAAGAAGAAAGAAAAAAAAAAAAACAAAGAAGCAGAUAUUUACCUGUUUUGAAAUACAAUUACUAAGAAUUGGAAUCUGAAGUGUAUAGAGCUUGGUUCAGAGAGAGAGACCAUGACUAGCCUUAUUGUUUUGGGUUCUUUGAGUUCCAUUGAUCCUAAAGAAAAAUGCGCUAAUGAAUCUAUUGAAGCCUGCCAAACUCUGGAAGACAACUUAAGUGGUCUUGCUUAUCUGAGUCAUGGUAUUAAAGUGUGUUUAUACAGAAAACAGCAAAUGCGUGUCUUUAUUAAAGUGCUUACUUACACUACCCCAGCAGAAAUUGCUAAUGAUUGCUUAUUCAAAAAAUAUGCUUAACCUAUAAGCACAGUGGUAUAACUUCAAUAGCUUGGUUUUUGGGAAAGGAGUGCAUAGCAGAGAAAGUACAAAAUGAGCAAUUUCUGGUUAUGUGCAACGGGAACCUUUAAAGCUGAUUUUAUUGCUCUUUGAACAAUGAGGUCAGAAGAAAGUUUGCUUUGCUGGAAUAUGUUCAGGAUAUAUUUAUUUUGAUAUUUGUCUUCAUGCUUGAUCAAGGGCUUGAAGUGUGUACAGCCAGACCUCAAGACCACCAUAAACUUUUGCCAUGGCAUUAGUUAUAUAUCAAAAGCUAUUGGUUGCUAAAUGCUCUGCUCAAAAAAACCAGGUUUACCAUACAAAACUAUUUCCUAAUUUUUUUCCCCUUCUGCUUGAACUACUUGUCACCGUGCUCCUGCAGGAGGAGCUGCAGCAGAGUAAACUCAUCUGAUGGGGAGGAAUCACAUUUUGAGGCUCCAAGCAGCUGAGGUAAUUGGCAUGGGUGCCAAUUAGUGUCAAAUAUUGCCAUCAUUCUCUGAUAUGGACACCUGUCCGUUAGGAAUCAGCCCAAGACCUCCAAAGUAGUUUGACAGAAACCAAUGAAUAGGCAGCAGCUGACAACAGUCAUUAGUUACAUCCCAGCUAUCUGAACCAGCCUGGUAAAAGGACUCAUUAGGCCUGUUGGCAAUGAUGAAGCACAGUACUCAGACCAUGAAAACAUAUAUAUUAUAAAGUAGGUAACAACAGAUGUUCUGGUGAUGAUGUGAAGGAGCCCUGGAGGGCAAUAGUUGUCUCCAGGUGACAGCAAUGGGCUUGGACCCAGAAAAAUCUGCUCUCGCUGCUCUUUGUGCUAGGUUUCUUGGGAAAUUAAGAAAAGAGAAAGCAAUGCUAAACGACUAUCAAAUAACAGCACAACAGCAGCAAAGGGCGUUAGUGUAGUACAAUAAAGUUUUUUGCAUUAAAAAUUUCCCACCACUUUGUAUGCAUACGCAUGCAAACACAAAUAUACUACAUUUCAACAUUACUUAGCUAGAGUAAGUAUUGAUAUUAUUCUAGCAUCAGUGUCUGUAUUUCUGGAUGGUUUACAAGGCCAUGGUAGUAAAUACCAAAACCCUCAAGACUUCUGAGUCUGAUUUUGCCUGGUUUAGAUGUGUUGUGAAUCCAGAAAUCUCUAUUGGCAUCAGUAGGUUUUGCAAGAGUCAAUUUUUAUCAAAACAGGAUAAUUAGCAGUAAAACUUUUUCUGAAACCCCUACACAGCUUUAUGGGAGAUGUACAAUAUUUCAUUAACUCAACUGAGAGGAUGAAAGAAAAGGGAAGCUUUCAAAUUUGUGAACAUCUAAUAUGCCAGCCUCAUAAAAGAUACGAAGGUUCCUGCAAAUUUUGUCUCUUGCACUGAGGCCAUGAUGACCACAACAAAAGUAUUAUAAAACUGACAUAGAGAAUGUAAUAUUUUAUAGACCUAAAAUCAAGGUCUUCAUUUUUUGACACAACCUUAUACAUUCUUGCUUAAAAUAUUAA